rnacentral:rRNA from 1 species
AUUGAACGCUGGCUUCAGGCCUAACACAUGCAAGUCGAGCGAGCGGCGGACGGUUGAGUAAUGUCUGUGAAACUGCCUUAUUGAGGUGGAUAACUACUGUAACCGUUAUCUAAUACCGCAUACCAUCAUAUGUGCCCAGAUGGGAUUAGCUAGUAGGUGGGGUAACUGCUCACCUAGGCGACGAUCCCUAGCUGGUCUGAUGGGUUGACCAGCAACACUGGAACUGAGACACGGUCCAGACUCCUACGGGAGGCAGCAGUGGGGAAUAUUGCACAAUGGGCGCAAGCCUGAUGCAGCCAUGGCGCGUGGGUGAAGAGGGACUUCGGGUUGUAAAGCACUUACAGCGGGGAGGCGUUAACAGCAGAAGAAGCACCGACGAACUCCGUGACAGCAGACGCGGUAAUUC